rnacentral:misc_RNA from 1 species
AAUUUUUUCACGCUUGUCUGGCAUUCUAUAGCCCUCUUUAUUACAAACAAGUGCCCGACCAAUGGCAGAUCCAUCACGCCUUGAUCGAGAGAGUUUGCUGACACGGAUGAUGAAUCCCACACGUGUAGCAUAAGUAUUGUAAAAUGCAUGUGCAGCUGCUUCAGAUUCAAAUUCCUGUCCCACAUAGGGCUCAUCUGCUGGAACCAUAGCUAUAGAUGGAACUCCAUCCAGAAUUGCAUCCUUACCUAAAGACUCUUUAUCCACUUUAUCAUCCUGAUCUUGUUGAAAAUCCUCUUCAGCAGAAUUUAUAACAAUUUCAUUUUCAUCACCUGCUCUGCUAUCUUCCAACUCAACAGUUCCCACCACCACACCAUUGGCAUCACCAUUUACCCCAAAUUCCAUAUUGACGGACGGAGGAAAUAGGAGUGAUGCGAUCACACCACCUAAUGGCUAAAACAGAUGAAAAUUAAUCAAAUAAAUUAUCGAUUUCCCAACUGUGAUGGGAAAUAGGGAAAAUGCGAAACGAGGUUAGGCAAUCACAGGCAGUGAUGGGGGUAGUCACCAGCGACGAUAGAGAGAAGGGAGAUGAUGAUUGUGAAUAAGAAAAAGGAAGAAGAUAUUCAUGUGAAGGAGACGGCCAAAUCGUAGGCGAUGAUCGCAACGUCGGUAGCUGGCAGUUGGCCGUCGGCGAUGGAGGUGACUAUCCUAAAAUGUCGACUAUAAGUUUAGGAUUCGGUGGUUAGGGUUCAGACAUCUAGAGGUAAGAUGAGAGACAG